UACGAAGGGGGCUAGCGUUGUUCGGAAUUACUGGGCGUAAAGCGCGCGCAGGCGGCUAUCCAAGUCAGUGGUGAAAGCCCGGAGCUCAACUCCGGAACUGCCAUUGAAACUGUUUAGCUUGAGGAUGAGAGAGGUGAGUGGAAUUCCCAGUGUAGAGGUGAAAUUCGUAGAUAUUGGGAAGAACACCGGUGGCGAAGGCGGCUCACUGGCCCGGUACUGACGCUGAGGCGCGAAAGCUAGGGGAGCGAACAGG
rnacentral:rRNA from 1 species